AUUGAACGCUGGCGGCAUGCCUUACACAUGCAAGUCGAACGGCAGCACGGGAGCAAUCCUGGUGGCGAGUGGCGAACGGGUGAGUAAUACAUCGGAACGUGCCCAGUAGUGGGGGAUAACCCGGCGAAAGCCGGACUAAUACCGCAUACGACCUACGGGUGAAAGCAGGGGAUCGCAAGACCUUGCGCUAUCGGAGCGGCCGAUGUCAGAUUAGCUAGUUGGUGGGGUAAAAGCCCACCAAGGCGACGAUCUGUAGCUGGUCUGAGAGGACGACCAGCCACACUGGGACUGAGACACGGCCCAGACUCCUACGGGAGGCAGCAGUGGGGAAUUUUGGACAAUGGGCGCAAGCCUGAUCCAGCCAUGCCGCGUGCGGGAAGAAGGCCU
rnacentral:rRNA from 1 species